rnacentral:rRNA from 1 species
GACGAACGCUGGCGGCGUGCUUAACACAUGCAAGUCGAACGGAAAGGCCCUGCUUUUGUGGGGUGCUCGAGUGGCGAACGGGUGAGUAACACGUGAGUAACCUGCCCUUGACUUUGGGAUAACUUCAGGAAACUGGGGCUAAUACCCGAUAGGAGCUCCUGCUGCAUGGGGGGGGUUGGAAAGUUUCGGCGGUUGGGGAUGGACUCGCGGCUUAUCAGCUUGUUGGUGGGGUAGUGGGUUACCAAGGCUUUGACGGGUAGCCGGCCUGAGAGGGUGACCGGCCACCUGGGGACUGAGAUACGGACCAGACUCCAAUGGGAGGCAGCAGUGGGGAAUCUUGCACAAUGGGCGGAAGCCUGAUGCAGCAACGCCGGGUGCGGGAUGACGGCUUUCGGGUUGUAAACCGCUUUCGCCUGUGACGAAGCGUGAGUGACGGUAAUGGGUAAAGAAGCACCGGCUAACUACGUG